AGUAAAGUGGUCGAUUUAGGCAAAAGAUUGUAAAUCUUUCAAUGGCUACUACCAGCCCUUUGCAA
rnacentral:tRNA from 1 species